UUUUGUUCGAUAGUACUGAUAGAGUAAAGACUUUCUUAAUUAAGUGGUUUUGUCUUGAUGGAUUAUUCAUGAGCAAGGAUAGUAAUAAUUUUUGUGGGUAAUCCACGUUGGAGGCAAUAUCAUGACACAAGGUACAGUAAAAUGGUUUAAUGCAGAAAAAGGUUUCGGAUUUAUUGAAGUUGAAGGAAGCGACGAUGUAUUCGUACACUUCUCUGCUAUUCAAGGUGAAGGUUUCAAAUCAUUAGAAGAAGGUCAAACUGUAACAUUUGAAAUCGAGCAAGGUGCUCGUGGACCACAAGCUGCUAACGUUCAAAAGUAAUGAACGUUAUAAAGGACUCUCAAAUGAGAGUCCUUUUUU
rnacentral:sRNA from 1 species